rnacentral:ncRNA from 2 species
AAGUUAUCACGAAAGGCGGAGGGAAAGACCCAAUGAAACCUUAGCAACCCUUUAUCAUAAAGAAGGUGCUACAUUCUACUUAAUACGAAUUCAUUGUAUUUAAGAUAGAUAACAC